rnacentral:misc_RNA from 1 species
GAAAUGCGAUAAGUAAUGUGAAUUGCAGAAUUCAGUGAAUCAUCGAAUCUUUGAACGCACCUUGCGCUCCUUGGUAUUCCUUGGAGCACGUCUGUUUGAGUAUCAUGAAAUCUUCAAAGUAAAUCUUUUGUUAACUCAAUUGGUUUCUACUUUGGUAUUGGAGGUCUUUGCAGCUUCACACCUGCUCCUCUUUGUUCAUUAGCUGGAUCUCAGUGUUAUGCUUGGUUCCACUCGGCGUGAUAAGUUAUCUAUCGCUGAGGACACUGUAAAAGGUGGCCAAGGUAAAUGCAGAUGAACCGCUUCUAAUAGUCCAUUGACUUGGACAAUACUUUUAUGAUCUGAUCUCAAAUCAGGUAGGACUACCCGCUGAACUUAAGC